rnacentral:rRNA from 1 species
GUCCACGCUGUAAACGUUGAUCACUGGAUGUUGGCCUGACUUUGUCAGGGCAGUAUCGAAGCUAACGCGUUAAGUGAUCCGCCUGGGGAGUACGGUCGCAAGAUUAAAACUCAAAGGAAUUGACGGGGGUCCGCACAAGCGGUGGAACAUGUGGUUUAAUUCGUCGUUACGCGAGGAACCUUACCUGGGCUUGACAUGUAUUUGAUCGCUACAGAAACGUAGUUUUCUAAGCUUCGGUUUAGACAGAUGCACAGGUGCUGCAUGGCUGUCGU